rnacentral:rRNA from 1 species
UACGUAGGGGGCAAGCGUUGUCCGGAUUUAUUGGGCGUAAAGAGCGUGUAGGCGGCCUGACAGGUCUGCUGUGAAAACUCGAGGCUCAACCUCGAGAUGUCGGCGGAAACCGUCUGGCUAGAGUCCGGAAGAGGAGAGUGGAAUUCCUGGUGUAGCGGUGAAAUGCGCAGAUAUCAGGAGGAAUACCGAUGGCGAAGGCAGGUCUCUGGGCUGACACUGACGCUCAUGCACGAAAGCGUGGGGAGCAAACAGG